AUCGCUUCUCGGCCUUUUGGCUAAGAUCAAGUGCAGUUUCCAUAGGAUUAUUCCAGCUUUACUCCAACUUUGAAUAAACAUGUGAAUACCUACUGAAAUAUUAUGUGUUAUCUCAAUCAAAAACAGUACAAUUUUUCUUAUUAAUUCCCAAUUCCAUAGGAGAAUAUCUUGUUUC
rnacentral:sRNA from 1 species